GUAUUACCUGCGGCGGGCCAAGAUGGCGACGUGUACCUGUCCUCACAGGCACGCCCAGAGGCUGAGGUGAAGGCUGGGAUAGCGGGAUAGCCAAUUUUGACUCGCAGCUGUAGGGUCUGCUCCAAAACUGUGGACGUUUUGCUUCUUUACCGCUUGGUGCCAGCAAAGGAGCGUCAAACAAUCUGUGGGCAGCGCCGAGAGCGCUUUUUAAAGCCGUAGAAAUCUGAUCCAGAGAUUCACGGGUGAGGAUGAAUGGUCAUGGGAGCUGUCUUGAAACAGGCUACUGUGUUGCCCUGAACUUGAAGGAAGAGAUGUUACUGAGGGGAACAGAAAUCACUGAGUGCUGGUGCAUGUUGUCCAAAGAACUGGUUGGUAAGCCCUGCUCUAUCCACACAAAUUGGUGUCCGAAUACAUCCAUAAUGUGUAUGGUAUAAGUAAGGUUUGGUUGUUGGAACUAAGCUAAGG
rnacentral:lncRNA from 1 species